rnacentral:rRNA from 1 species
GAUGAACGCUGGCGGCGUGCCUAAUACAUGCAAGUCGAGCGAAAAGACGAGGAGCUUGCUCCUCUGAUGUUAGCGGCGGACGGGUGAGUAACACGUGGAUAACCUACCUAUAAGACUGGGAUAACUUCGGGAAACCGGAGCUAAUACCGGAUAACAUGUUGAACCGCAUGGUUCAACAGUGAAAGACGGUCUUGCUGUCACUUAGAGAUGGAUCCGCGCCGCAUUAGCUAGUUGGUAAGGUAACGGCUUACCAAGGCAACGAUGCGUAGCCGACCUGAGAGGGUGAGCGGCCACACUGGAACUGAGACACGGUCCAGACUCCUACGGGAGGCAGCAGUGGGGAAUCUUCCGCAAUGGGCGAAAGCCUGACGGAGCCACGCCGCGUGAGUGAAGAAGGUCUUCGGAUCGUAAAGCUCUGUUAUUAGGGAAGAACAAAUGUGUAAGUAACUAUGCACGUCUUGACGGUACCUAAUCAGAAAGCCACGGCUAACUACGUG